GUCGACCUGCGGCAACUGCGACUGCGCUGACAAGAGCCAGUGCGUGAAGAAGGGAAACAGCUACGCUAUCGAGACUGUUGCGACCGAGAAGAGG